GCUAAACGCGAAGAACCUUACCUACUCUUGACAUCCAGGGAACUUAGCAGAGAUGCUUUGGUGCCUUCGGGAACUCUGAGACAGGUGCUGCAUGGCUGUCGUCAGCUCGUGUUGUGAAAUGUUGGGUUAAAGUCCCGCAACGAGCGCAACCCUUAUCCUUUGUUGCCAGCGGUCCGGCCGGGAACUCAAAGGAGACUGCCAGUGAUAAACUGGAGGAAGGUGGGGAUGACGUCAAGUCAUCAUGGCCCUUACGAGUAGGGCUACACACGUGCUACAAUGGCGUAUACAAAGAGAAGCGACCUCGCGAGAGCAAGCGGACCUCAUAAAGUACGUCGUAGUCCGGAUUGGAGUCUGCAACUCGACUCCAUGAAGUCGGAAUCGCUAGUAAUCGUAGAUCAGAAUGCUACGGUGAAUACGUUCCCGGG
rnacentral:rRNA from 1 species